GACGAACGCUGGCGGCGUGCUUAACACAUGCAAGUCGAACGGGCCUUGUCCCCUUUUUUUUUGGGGGGGGGGUUAGUGGCGAACGGGUGAGUAACACGUGAGUAACCUGCCCCUCACUUCUGGAUAACCGCUUGAAAGGGUGGCUAAUACGGGGUGUUCUGGCCUGCUCGCAUGGGUGGGUUUGGAAAGAUUCGACCGGUUUUGGUUGUUUUGGUGGGGGAUGGGCUCGCGGCCUAUCAGCCUGUUGGUGGGGUGGUGGCCUGCCAAGGCUUUGACGGGGAGCCGGCCUGAGAGGGUUGGCGGUCACAGUGGGUGUGAGACACGGCCCAGACUCCUACGGGAGGCAGCAGUGGGGUAUAUUGCACAAUGGGCGAGAGUGUGAUGCAGCGACGCCGCGUGAGGGAUGGAGGCCUUCGGGUUGUGAACCUCUUUCGCCAGUGAAGAAGGUGCUGCUCUUUGUGGUGGGGUUGAGGGUAGCUGGGUUAAUGAAGCGCCGGCUAACUACGUG
rnacentral:rRNA from 1 species